rnacentral:lncRNA from 1 species
AAAAAAAAUACCUGAUAACCGUUCAGACAAAAAAAUUAUGUUGAAAAAAUCUUACAGAUACAGCAAGUGAUUCUUAAUAGCUAUAAGAUACAUUUUUCUUUUAAAAUCUUCGGGAAACUAUUCCAAGCUUAAAACUUUCACUGUAACCUCGCUCUAACUUAUCCCCCAUCCCCCCCCCCAAAAAAAAACCAAAACAAACAAACCCGCAAUACUAUUGUCAUUCUUAUAGUCAGCACUAAAUUGUUCACAAACAAAUGUGUUUUAAGCUGCUAAAGACAUAUGAUUCAAACGCUCAGAAAGUCCUUUGUUCUAUAUUUUUGCUCUCCAUUUUUAUGCAAAACCUUUUACAUUUUUAUUUUAUGGGUUAUUGUUGAAGGUCGUACGAUGACGUAUGGUUGUUAACACAUACUUCCUUUGGUUUCUUAUGGAAAUUUGUCCAUUGACAACAAACAUACCACAUCAUCUACUUUAUAUAAGUAUUGUAUAAAUUACAACGUAUUUUGGUGAUCUUGCAAAAUGAUCGUAAUCCCGAAAAUCGUAAACAUAUUUUCUUAUCUUAAAAGGGGGCAAGAAGGGUUCCAUUAACAGGCCAAUAAAUAAGAUUACAGUUAAUUUUAAAAAAAAAUAAAAAAAAUAGGGGUAUUUUUUCUCUCAUAAUAACAGUAAACAGAUUCACAACAAUGUCAAUUUCAAGAAAGCAGACAACAGUUAAUUAGUCAAUAACAGUACAGCAUCAAUGAUCUUGAAUAUAUGCCACUUUUAACUAAAAUAUAAAGGCACAGAACCAGGACAUAGGAGCACAGAACCAGGACCGUUUUUCUUAUCACCAGCACAGCGUCAGGACAAUUCCG